rnacentral:rRNA from 1 species
UGUUAAGAUUUUUUUAAUUAUAGAAUAUUAAAUUAAAUAUAUUAUAUGAGUUAAUCCUCUAAUAUUAAUUUAUUAAAAUAAUUUAAUAUUAAGUAUAUCUAUAUAUUAAAAUUAUAUUUAAAUUUAAUUAAAUUAAAAAUUAACUAUGUUAAAAUUAGUAUAUACUUUUUAUUUUAUUAAGGAACUCGGCUAAUUAUUAUUCACCUGUUUAUCAAAAACAUAGUCUUAUGUAUUUAUAUAAGGUGAAACCUGCCCACUGAUAUUAAAUUUAAUGGCCGCAGUACCUUGACUGUGCUAAGGUAGCAUAAUAAAUUGACUUUUAAUUGGGGCCUUGAAUGAAUGGAUAAAUGGGUAAUUUCUGUCUCAAUAAAAAUUUUAUAAGUUACUUAAAAGGUGAAAAUUCCUUUAAAUAAAUUAAAUAGACGAGAAGACCCUAGGAGUUUUUAAUUUUGUUGGGGCGACAGUAUAGCAUUAUAACCUAUAUAUAAAUAUUAAUAUAAAACGAAUAAUUUUAAUAAUAAAUAAACUACCCUAGGGAUAACAGCAUAAUUUAAUUUUAAGUUUGUGACCUCGAUGUUGGACUAGGGACUUUUAAAGCUAACAGUGUUAAUUGGUAGUUCUGUUCGA